GACGAACGCUGGCGGCGUGCUUAACACAUGCAAGUCGAACGGAAAGGCCCUGCUUUUGUGGGGUGCUCGAGUGGCGAACGGGUGAGUAACACGUGAGUAACCUGCCCUUGACUUUGGGAUAACUUCAGGAAACUGGGGCUAAUACCGGAUAGGAGCUCCUGCUGCAUGGUGGGGGUUGGAAAGUUUCGGCGGUUGGGGAUGGACUCGCGGCUUAUCAGCUUGUUGGUGGGGUAGUGGCUUACCAAGGCUUUGACGGGUAGCCGGCCUGAGAGGGUGACCGGCCACAUUGGGACGGAGAUACGGCCCAGACGCCUACGGGAGGCAGGAGUGGGGAGUAUUGCACAAUGGGCGGAAGCCUGAUGCAGCAACGCCGCGUGCGGGAUGACGGCCUUCGGGUUGUAAACCGCUUGCGCCUGUGACGAAGCGUGAGUGACGGUAAUGGGGAAAGAAGCACCGGCUAACUACGU
rnacentral:rRNA from 1 species